UAGAUCUACUGCCUUUCGUUGGGCUGGCUGAAACGCUGCGGACUGAGACCAGUCUCUUCAAAAGGAAGAACAUAAAGAGGAAGACCUUGAGUGGACCCCCGGACAAAGCACUUUGGGCUCGGCGAGAAGGGACGCGCGGGAGCGCUGGCUCGGAAACAGUGAUCUCCGGUGCCCAAGGGCGCCCGCCCGGCGCACGGACCUCUGAGGGGAUCCAGCCGCAUUAGACACGAGUGACCUUUUAAAUCUACGCCCACUCUUUACCUGCGAGAGGACUGCAGCAGGCGAGUUCCGGAAGGCUGACUGCCCAGAUCCCGGCCCCGGCCCGCGGCAGCGGCCCCCGCGGCACGCCCGGCCGGGCUGCGCCUGGACUCCGUGAGCAAGGAAAAAGCCUGGAUCCGAAAGGAUGGGGGAGAACAAAGAGCCUUUGGAAGACGUCGCUGUUAUCUCAUUGUCUGUGUGAUUGGGGAGCUGCGGAGAAAGGCCUCUCUCUCCGUGUUCACAGCGGACCUUGAUUUAAAUGUCCAUACAAUUAAGGCACGCGGUGAAUGCCAAGAAUGGGGCUGGCUGAGCACCGUCGGUCCGCGAGGGCCCGCCAAGGAACGAGCCACAGAGCCGAGGCGCCCUCCGCAGAGCUCAGCGCUGCGGCUUCGGGCGGGAGGGGUCACCGGCUCCCUCCGGCUGGGCUGCCCCGAACCGGAGCCCUUGGGGUGGGAAGAGACGGCCCAGGCCCAGAUCUCUGUUUAAGCGGAAAGAAAUUGAUCCUUUAACAAAGACAAAGAAUGGAGUCCUCUGGGGGCAGCUGCACAGCAUUCUCCCUAGGACAGAUGGAGCCUCCCCUCCACAUCUACUCUGUGGGUGGUUUUAAAGCCCCAUGAGUCAACACGGGCUGAGGUUUGUGCUGGUGCUGUGUGUGUUUGAGGCUUGCCUGGCUGAUUCACGGUGAUGCGUAUGUCAAUAAUAACAAUUAUGAGAAUUAUGAUACCUAAUAAAGAUUUUUUUUUCUUCCA
rnacentral:lncRNA from 1 species